AGAAUAGUUUAGUUAGUUUAGAGCCUGUUUUUUUAGUGUAGUCUACAAGGUUUGAUAUUCAAAUUAUUUUAUCUUUUUCAGCAUUUGCCUCUAGCAAAGAAAGAUGCAUAACUUGGAAACAGUGACAGUUUUCUUUAUUCAACUUCGUAGCAAAGUAGUCUACAGUAGUUACUGUGUCAGGAUUUCCUGGUUUCUAACGGAAAAGUCAAGCAGCCAAGGCCAGAGCGAGGGAUCUCUUCAGAGUGUGGCAAAGAAAGGUGCACCCCUUAGUAACAGUAACAGUUCUCUUCAAGCUACCUUGUAGCUAGUUACUCUGUCAGGACCUCCAAUCUGAACAGUCAACCAGCCAAGGACAGAGCGAGAUUUUACUUCAGAGCUGUGAUGAAUGCUGGAAUUUUGUCUUGAAUCGGAGAUCGGAAAGUUUGGGCCAACAGAUUGGUUGAGAUGGUGGGAGUCCAUAGUCAGGCCAGGAGUGGAACUGCUUACAGGGAAAGAAAGAAAAGGCUUGUUGGGCUUAUGAGUGUACUGUUUAUGAGUGAGUGUACUGCCUACUUGUGUAAGGACAUUUUCUUCCCAACAUAAUAGGCUUGUUGGUUGUGUUAUGCUCCCCAGCUAGGAUUAGGUCACAAUUUAGUCAUUAGUUGGCUUGUGUGUUUGCCUGUGAUAUGCAUUGUAAUUCUGUGCCCAAAGUUAAAUCUUUUUAUGAACUCCUAGUUUGUUGUAG